CUGCGCUGCACCAAAGGCCGGAGCAGGUGAUCCAAUGGUCCCUUCCAACCUUACCACCUACGGGGGGGGUGUCAGCGGUUGCCGGGGAAGGAGAGAUUAAUUGUCUGAGUGAGAGGACCACUCGGUGAUGCGCUGUCCCUGACCUAAUUUGGGAGCCCACAGGAAACGCUGACCCCAAAAGCUGCUCCAGCCUCAACGUGUCUGAAAUGCCUCUUGCUCCUGUGUCUCUGCCGCUGCGGAUGGAGGAUCCACUGCUGGGGUGAGGAUGGCCAUUGGCAAUGUACAAAAUGGGUUUGCGGAGAGAAGCUGGAUUGGGGUGUUUCCAGCAGCUGGAGGAGCAGAUUCCUGAGGAUUGCAAGCUAGAGAGAGAAGAAAUCGCAGGUGUUUAGGGAACCCAAUGACACCUGGUCCCCAGGAGACAGACAGAGCAGAAGCCCUCGCUAGAACCACUGCUCCCCAUCCCCACGCAGACACGCCCCCGGUGCUCUAAGAGCCAGAGGCCGAUUCC